rnacentral:rRNA from 1 species
AACGUAGGGGACAAGCGUUAUCCGGAUUUAUUGGGCGUAAAGCGCACGUAGGCGGCACGGUAAGUUGGACGUGAAAGCUCCCGGCUUAACUGGGAGAGUGCGUGCAAAACUGGCGAGCUAGAGGCUGGAAGAGGAGCGUGGAAUUCCCGGUGUAGUGGUGGAAUGCGUAGAUAUCGGGAGGAACACCAGUGGCGAAAGCGACGCUCUGGUCCAGAACUGACGUUGAGGUGCGAAAGCGUGGGGAGCGAACGGG